UAGUACGGCGAGUGCAGAGGGAAGAGCCCAAGAUUGAAAGCUGGCGUCUUCGGCGUCCGCAUUGUAAUCUCAAGAAGUGUUUUCCGCUUCGGACCAUGCCUAAGUCCCUUGGAAAAGGGCAUCAUAGAGGGUGAUAAUCCCGUACAUGGCAUGGAGCGCCCGAAGCUUUGUGAUACGCUUUCUACGAGUCGAGUUGUUUGGGAAUGCAGCUCAAAAUGGGUGGUAAAUACCAUCUAAGGCUAAAUAUUGGGGAGAGACCGAUAGCGAACAAGUACAGUGAUGGAAAGAUGAAAAGAACUUUGAAAAGAGAGUUAAACAGUACGUGAAAUUGCCAAAAGGGAAGGGUAGAAGGUCAGAGAUGCGUCUUGGGAUUCAGCCUUGCUUUUGCAUGGUGUUUUUCCCAAGUUGCAGGCCAACGUCGGUUUUGGGCACUGGAGAAGGGUAGGAGGAACGUGGCACCUCUCGGGGUGUGUUAUAGCCUCCUACUGGAUACAGCGACCGAGACCGAGGAACGCAGCGUACUCGUAAGAGCGGGCCUUUUGGCACCUUUACGCUUAGGGCGUUGGCAUAAUGGCCCUCUACCACCCGUCUUGA
rnacentral:rRNA from 1 species